AAUCCAUGGUGUGGGCACUUCUAAAUUAGCAUCUUAAAACGGUCCCAUGCUUUGUAAAAGCUUUCCCCCUCUAAUUAUUUAAACAUAAAAAAUUUCCCUUCUUAGUUG
rnacentral:snoRNA from 1 species